UUCAGACUAAGGUAACCAAUUCAAUUUUAUUAAGUUACCAAUUUCGUUUGAAUGUGAUGCAGUUAGUAACCAACCAUUCAUACAAAGGUAACCAUUUUAUUAUUUAUCAAUAACAAAAUAGUUAUAAAUUUUUUGUAGGACGAAUCUUUUUCUUCUUCUUCUUGGCUCUUUUGGAGAAGAGCAGACAACAGAAAGAACUUAUGUUGGGCAAACUUUUAUCACCCUCUUCUCCUUUACGUAGAGGAAGAUCUACCUCCACCAAGGUAUGUUUGUUUAUGAUGAGACCUAGUGCUGUGAUAUUAAUUUUGUGUCAUUUUAUGUCUACAACCUCUAAAUGGUGAACUUUGUUUUUGAAAAAUUAAUUCUCUCAUGUAGGAUGUUACUACUGUCUCUAAGCUCUCAGGGAAGCUCGUCCUUUUAUUGUUUGCAACACAUGCUUGCUAUGGUUCUGGAUCUUUUUUGCCUGAAUUGAGGAGAACUUCGAGUUGCGUUUUGCAGGCACUUGUUCCUGGAUUGCGGUUGACGGAGAUAACGCCAGAGUUAUAAAGUUCCUGAUGUUUGUGAAUCAAAAUUUGAAUUUAUUUUUGUUGUUAGAUCUCAAAUAUUUGAAUUUGAAUUAUUAAUUAUA
rnacentral:lncRNA from 1 species